rnacentral:rRNA from 1 species
CCAAUAGCGUAUAUUAAAGUUGUUGCAGUUAAAAAGCUCGUAGUUGAAUUUCGGGGUUAGCAGGUCGGUCGUGCCAUCGGUAUGAACUGGUCUCGCUGAUCCCUCCCUCUUGACGAACUGUGAUGCCAUUAAUUUGGUGUCGCAGGGAAUCAGGACUGUUACUUUGAAAAAAUUAGAGUGUUUAAAGCAGGCUCACGCUUGAAUACAUUAGCAUGGAAUAAUGAAAUAGGACGUUUGAUCUUAUUUUGUUGGUUUCUAGGAUUUACGUAAUGAUUAAUAGGGAUAGUUGGGGGCAUUAGUAUUCAAUUGUCAGAGGUGAAAUUCUUGGAUUUAUUGAAGACUAACUACUGCGAAAGCAUUUGCCAAGGAUGUUUUCAUUAAUCAAGAACGAAAGUUAGGGGAUCGAAGACGAUCAGAUACCGUCGUAGUCUUAACCAUAAACUAUGCCGACUAGGGAUCGGAUGAUGUUAAUUUUUUAAUGACUCAUUCGGCGCCUUACG